rnacentral:tRNA from 1 species
GGGGAGAUAGCUCAGUCGGUAGAGUGCUUGCCUGGCAUCCACAAGGCCCUGGGUUCAAUCCCCAG